AGGGUGUAAACGCUGCGGGCUUGGUGUUGGGGGUCCUUUGAGGGCGCCCAGUGCCGGAGAGAAGUUGUUAAGCCUGCUGCUUGGGGAGUACGUCCGCAAGGAUGAAACUUAAAGGAAUUGGCGGGGGAGGCACCGCAACGGGAGGAGCGUGCGGUUCAAUUGGAUUCAACGCCGGACAACUCACCAGGAGCGACGGUUACAUGAAGGCCAGGCUGAUGACCUUGCCUGAUUUUCCGAGAGGUGGUGCAUGGCGUCAGUGACU
rnacentral:rRNA from 1 species